GAGUCAUCGAAACGCUUAGUGCGAGCUGGUGGAAUGUCAACAAUAUAGGGAUGGUACUGUGGAAAGUGUCUAUUGUUAUGUGUGUAGUAAGGACGUUUAUAAAUCACAACACAGUCUUAGGAAAACACCAAACAGUUUAUUGACGUCACACACAGAAUAACUGUCCACAAUAAGAAGGAGUAAGAAGUAGAUAGAUAACAAGGUCACAAAUCACAGUAGAAUAUCGAAACAGAAAUUUACAUAAACUAACUAGGUCACGAAUGAAUUAAGCGCGCGCGCAAUGUUUUUAUGCAAAAUCGACAGCUGACUAAGAUUGACUGGCGCGCGUCAGGCGAACGCGGCGGCUGCGGCGGGGGGCGUUCAUCCACGGAACCGGUUGGCCCGACCGCCGCCGCUCGCGCCGUGCUGAUCGUGCAUUCACAAAAAUAUCUAAUAAUAAAACGAAUUGCGCGCUGUGUUUGUGCGUUUAACAAGAUUGACAAAAGUUAUAUAAAAAUAAGUAUGCUAUUUAUUAUACACAGUGUAGUUACGUUAAGUAGGUUUAGUACAGAUACAUAUUUAUAAUAUUUUUACAAUUAUAUUAAUUUAAGAUAAACUAUGAAAAAUAUAUAUUAACUUAAUUUUAAGAGGUUAAACGCCACAUAAGUAAGAAUUGGGUCGUUUUGGGGUUCUCAUUUCAUUAUGAAAUGGUUCAGAGUUACAAGAUUGAGAAGAAGUAGGUCGUUGUGGGUAUUAGGUGAUAAGGUACUACGAUUAUUUAAUUAUUUAUAAACAUGCCGUGUAUCUCGUACAUGAUAAAUAGUACGUUCAUUUUCAGGUAGCCCUCGUAUUUUUUGGCAAGUAACUUGCAGUACAAAUCGCACUCGUCUUCUUCAGUUCUUCGGUCUUUUAGAACAUUAUUAAAAGUAUUAAAUGACGUCUCCUUCAUCUGCUUGCUAGCUUCAUUGAUGAGAUAUUCAGAACUUUUUGCUCGUUGACGCGGGUGCUGCAGUGGUUACAUCCAGUUUCAAUAGUAUGUGCACAGGUGGCAUGCGCUUCCCUUCCACAAUUAAAAUCUCAAUGGAGCAUAAUUAAAAUGACCAAAAAGAAAGCAUACCAAGUCCUCAUUCCCUAUUUCAAUAUUGUGCAAUACUGCAAGUGCGACAAUAGUUGGUUUUACAUUGUGCAUAUGCACUGUUAAACCAUUUAAUAAACAUUGUAACCGCUAUUUCCAUACACCAAAGCAACGUUCAACACAGUUGAGAGUGGCAAUCUGGGUUUGAUUGUAUCUUUGUUCCUGUUCAUUUUGAGGCCUUAAUGUGGGUGUAAAAAGAUAUAACUAGUUGAUACCCAGAAUACCCCAAGUCUUCCUCUGAACUAGCCUCGUUCAAAGCGUUCUUUAAGAGUGGACUCAUUAAAUCACCUUGCAACAAUGUCUAUUAUUUUUAGUUCGGCAUCACAAGUUACUUGUACGUUCAUAGAGUAAUAUCCUUUUCUGUCUAUAUUAUACUGAGCUGCGUCACCACCAUAU